rnacentral:lncRNA from 13 species
GUUCCUACAACUAUAUCUCCAGCUACCACUACACCUGAUGUACUUACUACAACAGUCACAACUGCAGCUCCUGUUACAACAACUGUAGCUUCUACGUCAAGCAUAGCAGCUGCCUCUACGAUAACCACUGCUGCUAUUACUACAAAAACUGCUGCUCCAAUAACCACUACAACUCCCGAAACUAAUACGACAGAACCUACUCCUACGACUGCUUCGACUGCAGAACCUAUCACGACNNNNNNNNNNUACAGCUCCAGAACCUAUUACGACAACCACUGCAGCUCCUGCUAAAACAACUACAAUUUCAGCUCCUACUACAACAACAGCACCUCCAACAACUGUAGCUCCCACGAUAACUGCAGCUCCUACAACCGCUUUAGCAUCUUCUUCAACCACAGCUCCUGAUACAACAACUGUAACUUCUACGUCAACAGCAGCAGCUUCCUCUACGACAACCACAGCAGCUCUAACUACAACAAUUGCUGCUCCAACGACCACUACAACUCUAGAACCUAUUACGACAACCACAACAACUGCACCUACUACAACACCUGCAUCUCCUACAACUGUAGCUCCAGCUACCACUACACCUGAUGUACUUAUUACAACAUUCACAACUACAGCUCCUGCUACAACAACGGUAGCUUCUACGUCAAGAAUAGCAGCUGCCUCUACGAUAACCACUGCUGCUCUUACUACAACAACUGCUGCUCCAAUAACCACUACAUCUCCAGAAACUAAUACGACAGAACCUACUCCUACGACUGCUACAACUGCAGAACCUACCAUGACAGCCACUUUAGCUUCUACUACAAACAUUGCUGUUCCUGUUCCAUCUGCCUCUACGAUAACCACUGCAGUUCUAACUAAAACAACGACUGCACCUUCGACCACUACAUCUCCAGAACCUGCUCUGACAGAACCUACUCCUACUAAUGCUACAACUGUAGUACCUACCAAGACAGCCACUGCAGCUCUAACUAAAACAAAUGCUGCUCCAACGACCACUACAAGUCCUGAACCUAUUAUAACAACCGCUGCAGCUCCUACCACACCAGCUGCUAUUCUUAUGACCACCACGACUGCAGCACCAUCUUCAACAACUACAACUUUAGCUCCUACGACAACCACUUCAACAGCACCUACUACAACAACUGCAGUUCUUACAACUGUAUCUCCAGCUACCACUACACCUGAUGUACUUACUACAACAUCCACAACUACAGCUCCUGCUACAACAACUGUAGCUUCUACGUCAAGCAUAGCAGCUGCCUCUACGAUAACCACUGCUGCUCUUACUACAACAACUGCUGCUCCAAUAACCACUACAUCUCCAGACACUAAUACGACAGAACCUACUCCUACGACUGCUACAGCUGCAGAACCUACCACGACAGCCACUUUAGCUUCUACUACAAACCCUGCUGUUCUUAUGGCCACAACUACUGCAGCACCUUCUACAUCAACUACAGCUUUAGAUCCUACGACAACCACUUCAACAGCACCUACUACAACACAUGCAGUUCCUACAACUGUAGCUCCUACUACCACUAUACCUGCUGUUCUUACUACAACAAUCACAUCUCCAGCUCCUGCUACCACAACUGUAGCUUCUAUUUCAACUACAGCAGCUGUCUCUACAAUAACCACUGCAGCUCUAGCUAAAACAACGGCUGCUCCUUCGACCACUACAUCUCCAGAACCUGCUCUGACAGAACCUACUCCUACUAAUGCUACGACUGCAGAACCUACCACGACAGCCACUGCAGCUCUAACUAAAACAACUGCUGCUCAAAUGACCACUACAGCUCCUGAACCUAUUAUGACAACAGCUGCAGCUCCUACUACACCAACUGCUAUUCUUACGACCACCACGACAGCAGCACCAUCUUCAACAACUACAACUUUAGCUCCUACGACAACCACUUCAACAGCAACUACUACAAUACCUGCAGUUCCUACAACUGUAUCUCCAGCUACCACUACACCUGAUGUACUUACUACAACAAUCACAACUACAGCUCCUGCUACAACAACUGUAGCUUCUACGUCAAGCAUAGCAGCUGCCUCUACGAUAACCACUGCUGCUAUUACUACAAAAACUGCUGCUCCAAUAACCACUACAACUCCCAAAACUAAUACGACAGAACCUACUCCUACGACUGCUUCGACUGCAGAACCUAUCACGACAGCCACUUUAGCUUCUACGACAAACUCUGCUGUUCUUACAACCACAACGACUGCAGCACCUUUUACAACAACUACAACUUCAGCUCCGACGACAACCAAAACAAAGGCACCUACUACAACACCUGUAGUUCCUACAACUGUAACUUCAGCGACCACUACACCUGAUAUACUUACAAUAACACUCACAACUGCAGCUCCUGCUACAACAACUGUAGCUUCUACGUCAACCACAGCAUCUGCCCCUACGAUAACCACUGCAACUCUAACUAAAACAACGGCUGCUCCAACGACCACUACAUCUACAGAACCUGCUCUGACAGAACCUACCCCUACUAAUGCUACGAUUGCAGAACCUACCAUCACAGCUACUGCAGCUCUAACUAAAACAACUGCUGCUCCAACGACCACUACAACUCCUGAACCUAUUAUGACAACUGCUGCAGCUCCGACUACGCCAACUGCUAUUCUUACGACCACCACGACUGUAGCACCAUCUUCAACAACUACAACUUUCGCUCCCUCGUCAACCACAACAACUGCACCUACUACAACACCUGCAGCUCCUACAAUUGUAGCUCCAGUUACCACAACACCUGAUGUACUUACUACAACAAUCACAACUACAGCUCCUGCUACAACAACUGUAGCUUCUACGUCAACCACAGCAUCUGCCUCUACGAUAACCACUGCUGCUCUUACUACAACAACUGCUGCUCCAAUAACCACUACAUCUCCAGAAACUAAUACGACAGAACCUACUCCUACGACUGCUACGACUGCAGAACCUACCACGACAGCCACUUUAGCUUCUACUACAAACACUGCUGUUCUUACGACCACAACUACUGCAGCACCUUCUACAACAACUACAACUUUAGCUCCUACGACAACCACUUCAACAGCACCUACUACAAUACCUGCAGUUUCUACAAUUGUAGCUCCAGCUACCACUACACCUGCUGUACUUACUACAACAGUCACAACUGCAGCUCCUGUUACAACAACUGUAGCUUCUACGUCAACCACAGCAUCUGCCUCUACGAUUACCACUGCAGCUCUAACUAAAACAACGGCUGCUCAUUCGACCACUACAUCUCCAGAACCUGCUCUGACAGAACCUACUCCAACUUUAGCUCCUACGACAACCACUUCAACAGCACCUACUACAAUACCUGCAGUUCCUACAAUUGUAGCUCCAGCUACCACUACACCUGCUGUACUUACUACAACAGUCACAACUGCAGCUCCUGUUACAACAACUGUAGCUUCUACGUCAAGCAUAGCAGCUGCCUCUACGAUAACCACUGCUGCUUUUACUACAAAAACUGCUGCUCCAAUAACCACUACAACUCCCGAAACUAAUACGACAGAACCUACUCCUACGACUGCUUCGACUGCAGAACCUAUCACGACAGCCACUUUAGCUUCUACGACAAACUCUGCUGUUCUUACGACCGCAACGACUGCAGCACCUUCUACAAGAACUACAACUUCAGCUCCGACAACAACCACAACAAAAGCACCUACUACAACACCGGCAGUUCCUACAACUGUAACUUCAGCGACCACUACACCUGCUGUUCUUACUACAACAAUCACAUCUGCAGCUCCUGCUACAACAACUGUAGCUUUUAUUUCAACUACAGCAGCUGCCUCUACAAUAACCACUGCAGCUCUAACUAAAACAACUGCUGCUCCAACGACCACUACAGCUCCUGAACCUAUUGUGACAACAGAUGCAGCUCCGACUACACCAACUGCUAUUCUUACGACCACCACGACUGCAGCACCAUCUUCAACAACUACAACUUUAGCUCCUACGACAACCACUUCAACAGCACCUACUACAAUACCUGCAGUUCCUACAAUUGUAGCUCCAGCUACCACUACACCUGCUGUACUUACUACAACAGUCACAACUGCAGCUCCUGUUACAACAACUGUAGCUUCUACGUCAACCACAGCAUCUGCCUCUACGAUUACCACUGCAGCUCUAACUAAAACAACGGCUGCUCAUUCGACCACUACAUCUCCAGAACCUGCUCUGACAGAACCUACUCCUACUAAUGCUACGACUGCAGAACCUACCACGACAGCCAGUGCAGCUCUAACUAAAACAACUGCUGCUCCAAUGACCACUACAACUUCUGAACCUAUAACGACAACUGCUGCAGCUCCGACUACACCAACUGCUAUUCUUACAACCACCAGGACUGCAGCACCAUCUUCAACAACUACAACUUUAGCUCCUACGACAACCACUUCAACAGCACCUACUACAAUACCUGCAGUUCCUACAAUUGUAGCUCCAGCUACCACUACACCUGCUGUACUUACUACAACAGUCACAACUGCAGCUCCUGUUACAACAACUGUAGCUUCUACGUCAACCACAGCAUCUGCCUCUACGAUUACCACUGCAGCUCUAACUAAAACAACGGCUGCUCAUUCGACCACUACAUCUCCAGAACCUGCUCUGACAGAACCUACUCCUACUAAUGCUACGACUGCAGAACCUACCACGACAGCCAGUGCAGCUCUAACUAAAACAACUGCUGCUCCAACGACCACUACAACUUCUGAACCUAUAACGACAACUGCUGCAGCUCCGACUACACCAACUGCUAUUCUUACAACCACCACGACUGCAGCACCAUCUUCAACAACUACAACUUUAGCUCCUACGACAACCACUUCAACAGCACCUACUACAACACCUGCAGUUCCUACAACUAUAUCUCCAGCUACCACUACACCUGAUGUACUUACUACAACAGUCACAACUGCAGCUCCUGUUACAACAACUGUAGCUUCUACGUCAAGCAUAGCAGCUGCCUCUACGAUAACCACUGCUGCUAUUACUACAAAAACUGCUGCUCCAAUAACCACUACAACUCCCGAAACUAAUACGACAGAACCUACUCCUACGACUGCUUCGACUGCAGAACCUAUCACGACAGCCACUUUAGCUUCUACGACAAACUCUGCUGUUCUUACGACCGCAACGACUGCAGCACCUUCUACAACAACUACAACUUCAGCUCCGACAACAACCACAACAAAAGCACCUACUACAACACCGGCAGUUCCUACAACUGUAACUUCAGCGACCACUACACCUGAUAUACUUACAAUAACAAUCACAACUGCAGCUCCUGCUACAACAACUGUAGCUUCUACGUCAACCACAGCAUCUGCCUCUACGAUUACCACUGCAACUCUAACUAAAACAACGGCUGCUCCAACGACCACUACAUCUCCAGAACCUGCUCUGACAGAACCUACUCCUACUAAUGCUACGAUUGCAGAACCUACCACGACAGCCAGUGCAGCUCUAACUAAAACAACUGCUGCUCCAACGACCACUACAACUUCUGAACCUAUAACGACAACUGCUGCAGCUCCGACUACACCAACUGCUAUUCUUACAACCACCACGACUGCAGCACCAUCUUCAACAACUACAACUUUAGCUCCUACGACAACCACUUCAACAGCACCUACUACAACACCUGCAGUUCCUACAACUAUAUCUCCAGCUACCACUACACCUGAUGUACUUACUACAACAGUCACAACUGCAGCUCCUGUUACAACAACUGUAGCUUCUACGUCAAGCAUAGCAGCUGCCUCUACGAUAACCACUGCUGCUAUUACUACAAAAACUGCUGCUCCAAUAACCACUACAACUCCCGAAACUAAUACGACAGAACCUACUCCUACGACUGCUUCGACUGCAGAACCUAUCACGACAGCCACUUUAGCUUCUACGACAAACUCUGCUGUUCUUACGACCGCAAAGACUGCAGCACCUUCUACAACAACUACAACUUCAGCUCCGACAACAACCACAACAAAAGCACCUACUACAACACCGGCAGUUCCUACAACUGUAACUUCAGCGACCACUACACCUGAUAUACUUACAAUAACAAUCACAACUGCAGCUCCUGCUACAACAACUGUAGCUUCUGCGUCAACCACAGCAUCUGCCCCUACGAUAAGCACUGCAACUCUAACUAAAACAACGGCUGCUCCAACGACCACUACAUCUCCAGAACCUGCUCUGACAGAACCUACUCCUACUAAUGCUACGACUGCAGAACCUACCACGACAGCCAGUGCAGCUCUAACUAAAACAACUGCUGCUCCAAAGACCACUACAACUCCUGAACCUAUUAUGACAACUGCUGCAGCUCCGAUUACACCAACUGCUAUUCUUACGACCACCACGACUGUAGCACCAUCUUCAACAACUACCACUUUAGCUCCUACGUCAACCACAACAACUGCACCUACUACAACAACUACAACUUUAGAUCCUACGACAACCACUUCAACAGCACCUACUACAACACAUGCAGUUCCUACAACUGUAGCUCCUACUAUCACUACACCUGCUGUUCUUACUACAACAAUCACAUCUGCAGCUCCUGCUACAACAACUGUAGCUUAUAUUUCAACUACAGCAGCUGCCUCUACAAUAACCACUGCAGCUCUAACUAAAACAACUGCUGCUCCAGCGACCACUACAGCUCCUGAACCUAUUGUGACAACAGAUGCAGCUCCGACUACACCAACUGCUAUUCUUACGACCACCACGACUGCAGCACCAAUUUCAACAACUACAACUUUAGCUCCUACGACAACCACUUCAACAGCACCUACUACAAUACCUGCAGUUCCUACAAUUGUAGCUCCAGCUACCACUACACCUGCUGUACUUACUACAACAGUCACAACUGCAGUUCCUGUUACAACAACUGUAGCUUCUACGUCAACCACAGCAUCUGCCUCUACGAUUACCACUGCAGCUCUAACUAAAACAAUGGCUGCUCAUUCGACCACUACAUCUCCAGAACCUGCUCUGACAGAACCUACUCCUACUAAUGCUACGACUGCAGAACCUACCACGACAGCCAGUGCAGCUCUAACUAAAACAACUGCUGCUCCAACGACCACUACAACUUCUGAACCUAUAACGACAACUGCUGCAGCUCCGACUACUCCAACUGCUAUUCUUACAACCACCACGACUGCAGCACCAUCUUCAACAACUACAACUUUAGCUCCUACGACAACCACUUCAACAGCACCUACUACAAUACCUGCAGUUCCUACAAUUGUAGCUCCAGCUACCACUACACCUGCUGUACUUACUACAACAGUCACAACUGCAGCUCCUGUUACAACAACUGUAGCUUCUACGUCAACCACAGCAUCUGCCUCUACGAUUACCAUUGCAGCUCUAACUAAAACAACGGCUGCUCAUUCGACCACUACAUCUCCAGAACCUGCUCUGACAGAACCUACUCCUACUAAUGCUACGACUGCAGAACCUACCACGACAGCCAGUGCAGCUCUAACUAAAACAACUGCUGCUCCAACGACCACUACAACUUCUGAACCUAUAACGACAACUGCUGCAGCUCCGACUACACCAACUGCUAUUCUUACAACCACCACGACUGCAGCACCAUCUUCAACAACUACAACUUUAGCUCCUACGACAACCACUUCAACAGCACCUACUACAACACCGGCAGUUCCUACAACUGUAACUUCAGCGACCACUACACCUGAUAUACUUACAAUAACAAUCACAACUGCAGCUCCUGCUACAACAACUGUAGCUUCUACGUCAACCACAGCAUCUGCCCCUACGAUAAGCACUGCAACUCUAACUAAAACAACGGCUGCUCCAAUGACCACUACAUCUCCAAAACCUGCUCUGACAGAACCUACUCCUACUAAUGCUACGAUUGCAGAACCUACCAUGACAGCCACUGCAGCACUAACUAAAACAACUGCUGCUCCAACGACCACUACAACUCCUGAACCUAUUAUGACAACUGCUGCAGCUCCGACUACGCCAACUGCUAUUCUUACGACCACCACGACUGUAGCACCAUCUUCAACAACUACAACUUUAGCUCCCUCGUCAACCACAACAACUGCACCUACUACAUCACCUGCAGCUCCUACAAUUGUAGCUCCAGUUACCACAACACCUGAUGUACUUACUACAACAAUCACAACUACAGCUCCUGCUACAACAACUGUAGCUUCUACGUCAAGCAUAGCAGCUGCCUCUACGAUAACCACUGCUGCUAUUACUACAAAAACUGCUGCUCCAAUAACCACUACAACUCCCGAAACUAAUACGACAGAACCUACUGCUACGACUGCUUCGACUGCAGAACCUAUCACGACAGCCACUUUAGCUUCUACGACAAAUUCUACGACAGCCACUGCAGCUCUAACUAAAACAACUGCUGCUCCAACGACCACUACAACUCCUGAACCUAUUAUGACAACUGCUGCAGCUCCGAUUACACCAACUGCUAUUCUUACGACCACCACGACUGUAGCACCAUCUUCAACAACUACAACUUUAGCUCCCUCGUCAACCACAACAACUGCACCUACUACAGCACCUGCAGCUCCUACAAUUGUAGCUCCAGUUACCACAUCACCUGCUGUACUUACUACAACAAUCACAACUACAUCUCCUGCUACAACAACUGUAGCUUCUACAUCAACCACAGCAUCUGCCUCUACGAUAACCACUGCAACUCUAACUAAAACAACGUCUGCUCCAACGACCACUACAUCUCCAGAACCUGCUCUGACAGAACCUACUCCUACUAAUGCUACGAUUGCAGAACCUACCACGACAGCCAUGUUAGCUUCUACAACAAACUCUGUUGUUCUUACGACCGCAAUGACUGCAGCACCUUCUGAACCUGUUAUAACAACCGGUGCAGCUCCUACUACACCAGCUGCUAUUCUUACGACCAACACGACUGUAGCACCAUCUUCAACAACUACAACUUCAGCUCCUAUAACAACCACGUCAACAGCACCUACUACAUCACCUGCAGUUCCUGCAACUGCUGCUCCUAUAACCCUUUCAACUCCAGAACCUAUUGUAACAGAACCUACUUCUACUACUGCCACGACUGCAGAACCUACGACGACAUCCACUGCAGCUCCUACUACAACAUCUGCUGUUCUUUCGACCUCAACGACUGCAGCACCUUCUACAACAACUACAACAUCAGCUCCUACGACAACCACAACAACAGCACCUACUACAAAACCUGCAGUUUCUACAACUGUAGCUCCUACUACCACUACAACUGCUGUACUUACUACAACAAUCACAACUGUAGCUCCUGCUGCAACAACUGUAGCUUCUAUGUCAACCACAGCAGCUGCCUCUACGAUAACCACUGCUGCUAUUACUACAAAAACUGCUGCUCCAAUAACCACUACAACUGUAGCUCCUACUACCACUACAACUGCUGUACUUACUACAACAAUCACAACUGUAGCUCCUGUUACAACAACUGUAGCUUCUACGUCAACCACAGCAUCUGCCUCUACGAUAACCACUGCAUCUCUAACUAAAACAACUCCUGCCCCAACAACCACUACAUCUCCAGAACCUACUCCGACAGAACCUACGACCACUACAACUCUAGAACCUAUUAAGACAACCACUGCAUCUGUGACAGAACCUACUUCUACUACUGCUACGACUGCAGAACCUACCACGACAGCCACUGCAGCUCCAACUACAACAUCUGCUGUUCUUACGACCACAACGCCUGCAGCACCUUCUACAACUACUACAACUCCUACUCUUAUGACAACCACAACAACAGCACCUACUACAACACCUGCAGUUCCUACAACUUUAGCCCCCACGACCUCUACACCUGCUCUACUUACUACAACAAUCACAACUACAGCUCUUGCUAAGUCAACUGUAGCUUCUACGUCAACCACAGCAGCUGCCUCUACGACAACCACUUCAGUUCUAACUACAACAAGUGCUGCUACUACGAUUACUACAACUCCAGAGUCUACAACCACAGAACCCACUCAUAUGACUCCUAUAACUGCAGAUAUUUCCAGAACAACAACUGCAGCUGCUACUACAACAACUACAACGUCAUUGCAAACAACAACCACAACAACACCACCUACUACAACACCUGCAGUUCCUACAACUGUAGCUCCUACGACCACAACACCUGCUGUACCUACUAUAAUAAUUAUAACUACAUCUCCCGCUACAACAACUGUAGCUUCUAUGUCAACCACAGCAGCUGCCUCUACGAUAACCACUGCAGCUCUAACUAAAUCAUCUGCUGCUCCAACGACCACUACAACUUCUGAACCUGUUAUAACAACCGGUGCAGCUCCUACUACACCAGCUGCUAUUCUUAUGACCAACACGACUGUAGCACCAUCUUCAACAACUACAACUUUAGCUCCUAUAACAACCACGUCAACAGCACUUACUACAUCACCUGCAGUUCCUGCAACUGCUGCUCGUACAACCCCUUCAACUCCAGAACCUAUUAUAGGAGAACCUACUUCUACUACUGCUACGACUGCAGAACCUACCACGACAGCCACUGCAGCUCCUACUACAACAUCUGCUGUUCUUACGACCACAAUGCCUGCAGCACCUUCUACAACUACUACAACUCCUACUCUUAUGACAACCACAACAACAGCACCUACUACAACACCUGCAGUUCCUAUAACUUUAGCCCCCACGACCUCUACACCUGCUCUACUUACUACAACAAUCACAACUACAGCUCCUGCUAAGUCAACUGUAGCUUCUACGUCAACCACAGCAGCUGCCUCUACGACAACCACUUCAGCUCUAACUACAACAAGUGCUGCUACUACGAUUACUGCAACUCCAGAUUCUACAACCACAGAACCCACUCAUAUGACUCCUAUAACUGCAGAUAUUUCCAGAACAACAACUGCAGCUGCUACUACAACAACUACAACUUCAUUGCAAACAACAACCACAACAACAGCACCUACUACAACACCUGCAGUUCCUACAACUGUAGCUCCUACGACCACAACACCUGCAGUACCUACUAUAACAAUUAUAACUGCAGCUCCUGCUACAACAACUGUAGCUUCUCUGUCAACCACAGCAGCUGCCCCUUUGACAACCACUGCAGCUCCUUUGACAACCACUGCAGCUCUUACGAAAACAACUGUAACUCAUACGACAACAGCUGUUGGUCCUUUGACCACCACAACUGUAGAACCUAUUUUAACAUCUACAUCUGAAGCUACAACAACAACCACAAUUACAUCAGCUAGUACAGCACCUGCAGUUCCUGCAGCAAAUGCUGCUUCUAUGACAACUGCAACUGCAAUUGUACUUCCUACCUCGACAACCAGAACUGCAACUUAUAACUCAACUUCUAUGCCUUCAGUGACAUCAACAACUAGAUUCGGCACAGUGGUGGUUUUUGUUAAACUGAUAUUCAAGCUCAAAACACCAGUCCCCACUGAGGAUGAUGUCCUUGGUGCCAUCAAGAAGCAAUUGUCUCGUCAAUUCAGGACCACUCAAACCACCUACCAGAAUGCAACUUAUAUCAAACUUACAGAUACUUCAUUUGCCAUCAACCUUGGUUUCAAAAUAACCAAUGUAACCCUGGAGUCUCUAAGUCAUAGACUCACAUUCACCAACGAGACCUACAUCAAGAUACAGGAUUCAAUUAACAGUCUACUCCAUAAGGUUCUCAGUGAACCAGAUGGCAAACAGUUUAUAUUUCCCAACGCCAACUUCAUUGCUGAUGGCACUGAGAUCACGGCAAACGUGACGUAUGUAUACAAAGAGGAAGAUGUCAACCACCCUAGUGGUUUUCUACAGGAAGUCUUAAAAGUCUCAGGUAUGCUGCUUUUGUUACCAUACAGUUGUCAUUUCUAUGUUUUUUUUAUGACAGUGAGUUAUCAAACACCAUGUAACGUGUAUAAUACUCAAUCUCGAAAACACAUAUAUCUAUGUUGUCUGACAUAUUACAAGUUUAUCAUCCCUAUAAAAUGUAUUUUAAUUUCCAUUCUAGGUCUCCUGACCACCACUGUUGCCCCAACUACAACUACAAGCACCACACCACUUCCUACCCUUUUACUGACCACUCCUUUCCAUGCCACAAGUGUUGGAGGUUUUCCUGGCUGGGCUUUGGCCAUUAUCAUUCCUUGUGGCAUCGCUAUCAUUCUGGUACCCCUGUGGAUCCUGCUAUGUGUACGUAUAGGCUUGUGUACUGUGAAAAUAGUUUACAAAGUAUUUAAGUUAUUUAAUUUCUGCAAUGUUGCAUGUGAAUCAUGCUUCCCCAUCUUUCUUUUGCAGUGUAUGCUAUGUGGCUGCUGUGCAGCUGUAAGGAGACGCUGGCACAGACGCAGAUCUUACAAUGUACAGUACACCACCAGAAACGGACUCUUCUGAGGUGACAACACUAACAUCAGUAGGCAACUGUCAUCACAAGAACAGCCAAUUAUCUAUCUAUAUCUGCUAAUCAGGAGACUUCAUUGGGUGCUUGCAUCUAUUUUUUUAACACAAAAAUAAAAUUCAUAAUGGGCUUAAUAAUCCACAGGUGUUUUGCGCAUUGUACAAUUUUUUAUGUUAUACGUCUGGUUGUUAAUCAAAGUUACAGCUGAGCUGAACAGCAUGUAUGUUUAUGUAUUUGUUAGCAAUGUAAUUUAUGUGGUUUCAAGCUGUGCUGUCCACUGACUAAAACGGUUUUCAGUUAUUUAUUGAAUGUAUAAUAAGGUAGAUUAAAAUAUUAAUUUGAGUUUUGUUAUUUCCUCUCUUGAUUAACUAUUAACUAACUUAUUUUCAACUGCAAUACAGUACUUGUUUCUUCAACACACCGUUUGACAAAUGUAAUAAAGACUUUGCAAACCAGUAUUAAGAAAACAUUUUAUGAAUUGGUUUGACUCAUGAGGGGGAUUACAGACAGCACAUCUAAACAUCAAAGGAAGUCAAGAUUGUCCCACCUGGCCCCAAUAUCUAACACAAUUUAAUUUCUACAGUACUCAUUCAAGGGUUUUUCGUUCUUUUUACUAUUUUCUACAUUGUAGAAUAAUAGUGAAGAUAUCAAAACUGUGAAAUAACACAUAUGGAAUCAUGUACUAACCAAAAAAGUGUUCAACAAAUAAAAAUAUAUUUUAGAUUUUAAAUUCUUCAAAGUAGCCACCAUAUGCCUUGAUGGCAGCUUUGCACAUGCUUGGCAUUCUCUCAACCAGCUUCACGUGGAAUGGUUUUCCAACAGUCUUGAAGUAGUUCCCACAUAUGCUGAGCUGCUUUUCCUUCAAUCUGCAGUCCAACUCAUCCUAACCAUCUCUAUUGGGUUGAGGUCGGGUGAUUGUGGAGGUUAGGUCAUCUGAUUUAGCUCUCCAUCACUCUUCUUCUUGGUCAAAUAGCCCUUACACAACCUGGAGGAAUGUCGGGUCAUUGCCCUGUUGGAAAACAAAUGAUAGUCACACUAAGCGCAAACCAGAUGGGAUGGUGUAUCGCUGCAGAAUGCUGUGGGUGCCAUGCUGGUUAAAUGUGCCUUGAAUUCUAAAUAAAUCACAGACAAUGUCACCAGCAAAGCACCCUCACACCAUCACACCUCUUCCAAGUCUCUUCUUAUUAUUGGUAUCCUUUAGUUGUUGUUUCUUUUCAGCAAUUCGACCAUGAAGGCCUGAUUCAUGCAGUCUUCUCGCUCUCGCUCUCUUCUCUCCCCUCUCACUACUGUCGGGGCGGCAGGGUAGCCUAGUGGUUAGAGCGUUGGACUAGUAACCGGAAGGUUGUGAGUUCAAACCCCCGAGCUGACAAGGUACAAAUCUGUCGUUCUGCCCCUGAACAGGCAGUUAACCCACUGUUCCCAGGCCGUCAUUGAAAAUAAGAAUUUGUUCUUGCCUGGUUAAAAAAAAAAAAAGUCGAGAACUGUUCUAUAAUUUAACAUGUUUCUUGUUUGUCUAUCUUUUCUGUGUCUUUGUCUACAUGUUUAUAUAUGUUUACAACAAGCAAGGGGAAGAUAUCAGAAUAGUGACAUUGGGGAAUAAUAACAUAUUGUAUGGGAAACAUUUGUACUGUAGUGAAGCCAUCUCUAUAGUAAUGCCUCUCUUGAUUAACUAUUAACUAACUUAUUUUCAACUGCAAUACAGUACUUGUUUCUUCAACACACAUCAACACACAUCUUUCAUGAUCAUGUGAAACGUCAGUUGCUAUGGAAAUGCUGGGAUGUGUUUUUCAAUGAUGUUAAAGGUAAUUACGAUGCAACUAUGAUGGUGAUACGUAUCCUCAACACUUCACACAGGAGCAACAGAUCAAUAGACACUCCACCCAGACCAGCAAGACACCCUUCAAGACCUGCAGGACCCCCCACCCUGAACCUACACAUAGAGGACCCACGCCAAGAGGCUUUACAUACAGACCACAGCACCCCCAGACACAUCCACACCCCCACCCCAACCAAUCAACACUCCCCCACGUCAACCAUGCCAACACCCCAUUUAGGCCCCCUCAGAUCAGACCUAUGCUACUCCUCCCACCCCAUGCACCCCACCCCCGCAAAGAGGGCCUCAACAUGGAAGUCACACAUACGCCCAGGUAAUGAGCGGGCAAACAGGCCCAAACCCACUCUUACACUCGCCCAAGCCAAUGGCAGGUACCAGAUGCUCAGCAGGCUCUGCUCACACUUACUGGCCUGAGGCUAAACCACGACCAACAACAUUGGACACUGUUACGGAUACAGGUAUCCUGUGUCUGUGUGUGUGUAUGUAUCCUGUGUCUUCUCUCCUUCUCCCCUCACAGGUGAAAAUCAUCACUCCCCAAUCAGUCAACAAUCAAUCAUCAAUCAGAAGACACACCUCCUCCUGUUUCCUACCCAAUCACAGUUCCUUUCCCUUGGUUUAAAAACCCCAUCAGUUGUUUGCUCUAGAGCUCAAUCUCUCUGUAAAUGCCAUGUUUGUAGGUCUCUGUGUUUCACGCUCUUGUUGUGUAUUAACCUCUCUUUUGUUUGAGCACCUCCAUAGCACUUUGUCAUCACCUGUGAGUAUUGUUUUGGUUAUGGUGUUUCUUUGUUUGCUGGUGGGAAAAGGGGAAACCAAGACAAGUCGCCCAUGGGCAUACACUACCCGUAGGUAGACUUUGUUAAAUACAGUAGUUAGAACUGGGCGGACCACCCACUGUAUUUUUGGUUAGUUAGCUGUUGUUAAAGUAGGCUAGUCUAGCUUAGGGGUGUUUUUGUAUACUUAUUGUUUCUUUCCUUGGGUCCAGCUCAGCCCCUUUUCCUGCUCCCCCCAUUACCGUGUGUU